rnacentral:rRNA from 1 species
UGGGGAAUAUUGCACAAUGGGCGCAAGCCUGAUGCAGCCAUGCCGCGUGUAUGAAGAAGGCCUUCGGGUUGUAAAGUACUUUCAGCGGGGAGGAAGGGAGUAAAGUUAAUACCUUUGCCCAUUGACGUUACCCGCAGAAGAAGCACCGGACAACUCCGUGCCAGCAGCCGCGGUAAUACGGAGGGUGCAAGCGUUAAUCGGAAUUACUGGGCGUAAAGCGCACGCAGGCGGUUUGUUAAGUCAGAAGUGAAAUCCCCGGGCUCAACCUGGGAACUGCAUCUGAUACUGGCAAGCUUGAGUCUCGUAGAGGGGGGUAGAAUUCCAGGUGUAGCGGUGAAAUGCGUAGAGAUCUGGAGGAAUACCGGUGGCGAAGGCGGCCCCCUGGACGAAGACUGACGCUCAGGUGCGAAAGCGUGGGGAGCAAACAGG